UGGGGAAUAUUGCACAAUGGGCGCAAGCCUGAUGCAGCCAUGCCGCGUGUAUGAAGAAGGCCUUCGGGUUGUAAAGUACUUUCAGCGGGGAGGAAGGUGUUGAGGUUAAUAACCUCAGCAAUUGACGUUACCCGCAGAAGAAGCACCGGCUAACUCCGUGCCAGCAGCCGCGGUAAUACGGAGGGUGCAAGCGUUAAUCGGAAUUACUGGGCGUAAAGCGCACGCAGGCGGUCUGUCAAGUCGGAUGUGAAAUCCCCGGGCUCAACCUGGGAACUGCAUUCGAAACUGGCAGGCUAGAGUCUUGUAGAGGGGGGUAGAAUUCCAGGUGUAGCGGUGAAAUGCGUAGAGAUCUGGAGGAAUACCGGUGGCGAAGUCGGCCCCCUGGACAAAGACUGACGCUCAGGUGCGAAAGCGUGGGGAGCAAACA
rnacentral:rRNA from 1 species